AACUGUUGUUAAGUGAGUUGAGCUCCUCUAGGAAGUCACAGGGUUCACACGGAUUUCAUCUACGAGCUGAUUCAGAACAGGCCUUCUUUCAGGACUGUUUCUGGUAAGAGGGGAACUGACUGACCUCAGCAAGCUGCAUUCCACAGGUUCUCAGAUUCUUCAUGCUGGAUGGCAGACCUAGUCAGAGUCUCCAGAGAACCCCGCUGGACUGCACCUCACCUCUCCUGGACCCUGUAACCUUUACUGGCUAUAAGUUACCCC